rnacentral:piRNA from 1 species
UCAAAACCUCUGUUUGGCUCCGCUGUAG